rnacentral:rRNA from 1 species
UUCAGUGAUAACAAUAGCGUUAAUGCACCAGAUCCCAUUAGAACUCCACAGUUAAGCACACUCAGGCUAGAGUAGUACUGGGAUGGGUGACUGCAUGAGAAGUCCUAGUGUUUACAUGCC